UUUCCCCUAAGCCAAAAUGAGUCAUAGCUGCAAGCUAAGGGAUUGAAACUUCAACCAAUCAAUGGGGACUUUCCCCUAAGCCAAAAUGAGUCACAGCUAUAAACUAAGGGAUUGAAACUUCAACCAAUCGUAUAGGGGGUUUAAGCUCUAGCUGCAGCCUGAUGUUUUUAACCAAUCAGGCCCGCCAACCUGCAAGCAGAUAGAAAAUAAGCUAAUCCUAUAGGACAGAAAAAGGAAAAGGGGAGGAGUCAUAAGUGGAUAUAAGCAUAAGACACCUAAGCCAGAAAUGGCAACCCUUCCAGUUCCCCUUCCACUGUGUGGAAGCUUUACUUUCACUUUUGCUUUACUUUGGCUUUAAUAAAUCUUGACCCAGCACUCUCUUUAGGUCUGCAUGCUUCUCAAAUUGAGCUGUAACACUCACUGCUGCGGUCCAAGCCUUCAUUCUUUGAAGCCCGUGGAACCACAAACUCUUCAAUUGAUAAAAACCUUCGAUCGGAAGAGACUUCUCAUCUCAUUUCUGGGGGCCUGUCCGGGAUUUCUCUGAAGUGAAUAGAAUCCAUGAAACUGCAAGUGGUUCUACAAAUGGAGCCCCAAAUGACCACCACUAGCACCUACUAUCGAGGACCCCUAGACUGACCUACCAACCUGUUCUAACACCACGACACUGAAGAAGACUCCCCUCCUGAGGAACCCUCAACUGCAGAUCCCCUUCUGUGCCCCAGUUCAGCAGGAAGUAGCUAGAAUGAUCAUUGCCCAACUUCUCAACAGCACUUGGGCUUUCCUGUUGAGAGGGGGUACUGAGGCACUAAGUGGCUAAGUUAGCUAGACUUCCUGGGUCAACAGGGACUUCCCUAAGGGGACAUUCCUCUAAGCCAAAAUGAGUCAUAGCUGCAAGCUAAGGGAUUGAAACUUCAACCAAUCAAAGGGGACUUUCUCCUAAGCAAAAAUGAGUCACUGCUGCAAACUAAGUGAUUGAAACUUCACCCAAUCAUAUAGGGAGUUUAAGCUUUAGCUGCAGCCUGAUGUUUUUAACCAAUCAGGCCUGCCAACCCACAAGCAGAUAGAAAAUAAGCUAAUCCUAUGGGACAGAAAAAGGAAAAGGGGAGGAGUCAUAAGAGGAUAUAAGCAUAAGACACCCAAGCCAGAAACGGAAACCCUUCCGGGUCUCCUUCCACCACGUGGAAGCUUUACUUUUGCUUUUACUUUACUUUCACUUUAAUAAACCUUGGCGCUGCACACUC
rnacentral:lncRNA from 1 species